GAUGAACGCUGGCGGCGUGCCUAAUACAUGCAAGUCGAGCGAACGGACGAGAAGCUUGCUUCUCUGAUGUUAGCGGCGGACGGGUGAGUAACACGUGGAUAACCUACCUAUAAGACUGGGAUAACUUCGGGAAACCGGAGCUAAUACCGGAUAAUAUUUUGAACCGCAUGGUUCAAAAGUGAAAGACGGUCUUGCUGUCACUUAUAGAUGGAUCCGCGCUGCAUUAGCUAGUUGGUAAGGUAACGGCUUACCAAGGCAACGUUGCAUAGCCGACCUGAGAGGGUGGUGGGCCACCAUGAAACUGAGACAGGGUCCAAACUCCUACGGGAGGCAGCAGUGGGCAAUCUUCCGCAAUGGGCGAAAGCCUGGCGGAGCAGCGCCGCGUCAGUAAUGAAGGUCUUCGGAUCGUAAAACUCUGUUAUUAGGGAAGAACAUAUGUGUAAGUAACUGUGCACAUCUUGACGGUACCUAAUCAGAAAGCCACGGCUAACUACGUG
rnacentral:rRNA from 1 species